UCAGAAUUAAAGGGGAAAACCACAAGAGAAAAAAAAAAGUGGAAAUAGUAUGCUCUGAUCCACAUCCAGACUGCAGAGUUCUAUUUCUGGAGGUGGGUGGCAUUUUUCUGGUCCUUUUCAAUGGCUAACCCUAAAUUGAUUGGGAUCCAUCGUCAUUUCCCCCCUUGCCCCGAUUAACUGAACUCUCUGCCUCCAGUCCACCCUUCACUCAGCCGUCAAAACGAUCUUCCUAAAGAUGACCAUCCCCGCCUCCUGCUGGAUGGUGUAGGAUGGGGAGAAGGAGGUGUAUCAGAAUGAGAGGGGUGGGGGAGGUCGGGCCGCGUUCCCUCCCGCUGGCCCCGGGCCCGGCACGCACUCUCCCCUCGCAUCCUACGCCCUGUGGCUCCCGUCCAGCCCCAGCUCCGUCCUGCUCCCACUCCCCCUGACUGCUGAUGCCUUCGCUUGGUUAAAGUCUCUCCAGCACCUCCUGCCUGGCUGCAGCUGCUACCCUGCUGCCAUCCCCAGGGAUCAGGGGCUUCCACCUUUCUGUGUGCGUGCAGCCCUUCGCGGAGCGUGUGGCACAGAGGAAAGAGAGGCUAUUGCAAACACGGUCCUGCUGUAAAUCACAGCGACAGAGCUCAGUCCUAGAAGGCUGGAGCCCGGAGCCCCAAAGGACUGAGAGCACCAAGCCUUGUAUACUGAGAGGAGGAAUCUGAAUUUGAAUCAGCAAUGGGGAGCCACUAGAGCACCGUCAUUCUGAACUGAAGGAGCAACAGGGAAAUCUAGACCACCACUGGACUACCCACAAUCCUAGAGGAUCCCUGAACAAGUUCACUGAGGAGAGUGGGACAAAGCAUGCAGGUAAGAAAUUGAGAGGAAGAGGUAACAGUGGUGAAGUGCUGGGUCCUUGUGACCCAGGAAAGACAGGAUACAUAAGGCAGCCACUACUCCAUCAAAUGCCCACAUCCUCUGCCAGUCUCUGGGACCACAUUAGAAUGACAGGAGAGUCGCACAACGUCCCACCCUACCCCCCAACUUCCGGUUGGCUACCUAGUGGGACAGAGCAGUAGGUCUGGAAUCAGAAACAUCUGACUUCAGAAUCAGUCACAGACGCUUCCUAGUCCUGUGACCCUGGACCAGUUAUUUAUUCUCUGCCUGCCUCAGUUUCCUGAAUUGUAAAAUGGGGAAAAUAACAGCACCUGUCUUGCAGGCUUGUUGUGAGAAUCAAAUGAGAUAUUAUUUGUAAAGUGCUUACACAGUGUCUGGCGUAUGGUAGGUACUCUGUCAAUGUUUAUUCCCUUCCUCACCAUCUAAACUUGCCUGAACCUCUCUCCAAGCUCACCUCUCUCUACCUUCUAAACACCAAAUCCUUCCAUUCUGUGCUGACCAUCCCACUCUUUCUCACAUCAAAAUGCUACUUCCCAAUGGAAACCUCAAGGAAGGAAAAAGCAAUUAAGGAGGGAGGGACCUCAUCUUUUCCCACAGACAACAGUCAGACUCAAAGGCUGAAAGGAAGAAAAUGGGCUUCCAAAUGCCUUCCCCACAGCCCCCGGAAACAUUUGCUUACAAUUUUGGAAUUCUACCCUUUCCAAUUAAUCAGUAAGCUCCAAAAGGAAAUGAAUCCAGGUCCAGAGCUAGCAGAAGGAAAAUAAGAUGAUUCUAUCUCAAAGGCCUCAUUAGCAGCUUGAUUUAAAGUCCAGAAGAACAUUUCCACAACUCAGUUUUUCCACUCUACAAUGGGAACUGUAUGGCUGAAAAACAUGAGGAUAAUAAGCAAACUGAUUAAGCCAGAAGAAACAGAUCCUCUGAUCUGCAGAAAAAAUACUCGUAACUAAGAAUAUGCCCUCCACCACCUUCCUGCCUGGAAUUCUCUUUUCUAGGUUCCUAAGGUAUAAAUCUGACUGGAUAAAACUGGGAUCACUGCUCACCUUUAUUCCCAAACCAAAAGCAUCAGGGACCCAUCAUAAAAGUCUCAAACUAGCAGAGAAAAGCACACUGGGUGAAGUUCAACUCCCUGCCUCCUCAAACACAAAUGAAUCCACUCCAACUUCUAAAGAAAAGGAGCAGAUAAAUCAGGCUCAUAGGGAAGACACACACGGACACAUUUCUGCCAGGCUCAAUUUCAGACCCCCGGACACGUCGGAAAAUGACGCUUUAGGCAUGAGCCAGGCAAGGUAUGGCAAGAACCCUUAUCACUAGCUCCCCUCCAGGAGGGGAAAUGGUUAGUUAGUGUGCUGGGGCCAUUAUAAGGCAGCUCCCUCUAGGAGCCUGUGUUCUCCAGAGAGAGCUAAAUGGAAAAUCUAAUUGAAGUCAUCUAAGAAGAGCAAACCUUUGGGACAAAUGUAAACCUCCUCACCAGGGGCAGACAUCAGUGGCUGCCUCAGAAGCAGGUACUCUGCUCAGGUGUCAGGCUCACCAAAAAGAGAGCCACAGUUCUGCAUGUGUGACACUCUGAUGAUUUAUUAAAGGGACUCACCCAGCAAAUCUAAAUCUACACCUGGAAAAUGGUGGGGAGUUCCUCCUGAUCACUGAGCCUUAAGAAAGAUAUUAAGGAUCUAGAGAAGGAUAAUUAGCUGGAAUUGUUAAGUUUCACAAAGGAUUUUUUUGGCUUACUAGAAGAUGAUGACAAAUGACAAAGAACAGAACCCAGUCAAAUGUACAAUGAACAGCUUAUGCCAAAUACGGACACUACCCCUCCCACUGGAAGUCUGUGAGAGGACAUAAUGAUGACACCUUAGAGGGGGAAACUGAAGGACUCUCCAGGGUUCAUACCAUCAACUAACAGUAGAACAGAUUAGAAUUCCAUUUUUCUGUCUCUUGAUAUUCCUUUCUCAGGUGUGAAUUUAGUAAAAUACCCUAAGCCUGUGACUGAGAAGGGAUGGUCAGAGGGAGACUGAGAGCCCAAAGCCUCCAAGUCAUCAAAGGAGAUGUUCAUUCCGCCUGCUGGCUCACUGGCCUGUGCUCCAGAAGGAAGAAAACAGAUUGACCCGCUAGAUUUCCCACCCGAGGGCUCUUCAUACUCUGAGACUGCAAUAGGCUCCCUGAGCUUUCAUGUUCAGUGAGGUAGUUUUUUGUACCGUGGGUAGUAAAGCCCUAGGACAUUCAUUAGCCCAAAGUGGAACGCGUAGAGACAAGGAGCAGGUUCAGAAAAACCUGAUGUCCAUUCAUGGAUGAAUGACUACUAAUGGUUUAUUAGGGAAGCCAGGGUGCUGGCGUGUCCCUAAUCUGCUGGGACUGUAUUCCCCAAGCCCCGCUCCCUCCACCUCUCCCUGCAGCUCUUAUAGAAGCACACAGGGCUUGCUGGGCCAUGGGUCGGAGCCUGCAGAACAAUCCUAAUGACCUCAUGUGCUUCAAUCCCCAUCAGGUUUUCUAAGCUAACUCAUUUCUGUGGAUCAUCUCACACAACUGGCUGCAGGUCAGUGGUGAAAGACAUAGCAAAUGAAAAGAUGAAAGAGAGGAUUCUUAAGAGUUAAAUGAGCAAGUCCUCACUUACUUGGAUCCUCCUAGCCAUUUUCUAAGACUGAACACAACAAUACAACAAUGGGGGGAGGGGGGCUCCAAAACUAAAAGCAAAUAGGACAGAAUCAAAGCAAAAUAUCAAAAGAAAAAUUUCUCAGGAAGACUCAAAUAAUCUCAAAGGAAAGGCUCAUUGAUCUAAACCUAGUUAGAGACUGAUCUUCCCAUCUCUAAAUCUUACACUGGGGAAACCACUCAAAUUUCAGCUAGCCAAAGUUAUCACCGAGACACUGCACACUCUAUUUCUACCUAUCCAGAAGCAGGAUAGGGCAGGGCUCAAAAAGAAAACCCAAAUAAAAAGUUAAUUCCACAAACAGCCAAUUCUACCGCUUUCUAUUCCUAAAUUCCUCUGCAACAGGAGGCCAAAUGAGGAAGAGAACAAGCAUUUAGUAAGUACCUCCUACGUGUAAGGCUCUGUACUAUGUACUUUACAAACACCCCUCUUUUGAGAAACACAGAAAUGGACUCUUUUAAAAAGUCAGAAGUGCCUUUUGAUGGCAUCAAAUCUAAUCCCUUCAUUUUAGAGGUUGGAAAACAAGAGUCCCACAGCUAAGAAGAUGGCACAGUUCAUCAGGAUGAAGGCAGGGUUCAAGUGACUUAGAACGGAAGAGUUCUUGAAGGUUAUUUCAGCCAAGCCCUACAUGAACAGUCAUCUGCAAAGUGAGGUCUACACUGAUAGAAGAGCUGGACCAAAAUGACACUAAGAGGAAAAAAGAAGAACCAGGAGGCAAACCUGGGUCUCCUAAGCCAGGGUUCUACUCCAGGUUAGAACUCAGGUGUUCCUGCCUUCUACUCCAGAGAUCUCUCCAUUACACCACACUUCCCUCCCCCCAUCCCCAAAGCAUCCUACUCAGAAAAUUAAGGGACCUGUUUCUGAACCUGGUAAGCAGAAAGCCUAUUCGAGGGAAUUACCCAAGGGCCAACUGGACACACUACAUGAACAGGGCCACCGUUCCCUGAGCUCUACAAGCAGGCAGAACCCAAGAAAUUCUUCACCAAUACCGGACUCUCUACAUAAAUGGGCUCCAACCACUGUUCUCUCUCUUUGGGAACAAACAACAGCAAUAAGAGAAAACAUCUUAAGUGCACUGCUACCUAUCAGAAGUACUAAGCAAGCCCACUCUGAUAAACCUAAAAUGGAAGUUUCUCUUGAGCAGAGCUCCUUUUGCUAGGAGGAACAAUGCAGUGGUAAUGAUGAAAUUAAAGACGUUUCAACAGCUGUCUCAAGAGCACUGCUAACAAAAUCACUAAGUUGGUAUUUCCCUUAUUCCUGAGAGGGGAUAGGGGUUUGGGGAGGGGAAUGAGUGGUAAAACAGUUAAGAGACAAGCAGUCCAGGCCUCUUGAAAAAAGCAGUAAUAGAAUAACCAAUCUCUGAAGAAGAGAUUACACUGCUUGCAAAUAUUAAUUCAAGUAACAUGCGGGAAAAAAAAUAAUAAAGUCCUGUGAAACCGAGAAGGGCAUAGAUGAUUGGAAAAGAAAUAUGGACAUUCAUGGCAAUGGUGGGGGUUACCUGUAGAGCAUGAGAGCCACUGACAGAAGGCGGCUAGCUAGCUAGGCAAUGUGAAGGCCAAGGCUAUGGUGAUUGGCAGCCCAAACCCUAAAUCUGCCAAGGGCCCAGGGAGGCUCUCUCAGUGUUCAAUAAUUCAGGAUAUUCAGAAUGUAUCCCGAGGGUUGAAAAAGGCCCCCGUGGAACAAGCCCUCGAAAAUUAAAUACAGGCUAGUUUUCCCAAACGUUUAGCAACUGACCAAUAGACCUAACUAAGUUCCUCUGGAAUCCUAAAAUCUGACAUUGCAGGAAAAAUUUUACUAGGAGUUAGUGGGACUAGAUAAAGCUUUUCUUUUAGAAAAUAAUUUGAGGGCUCUGUCAAGUCCCUAAGAAAGGUCUCCUCGGCAUUUAAAGGGUCUAAGUGGUAAAGUCACAUCACCACCAUGAUAAAACCUGGUUCACGUAUUUUCAGGACCAGAACAGUCUCGAAAUAAACCUUUGGUCUUUCACGUGUUUUGCUGUGUCCUUGCUACCUAGGUUCAUUAAUCAAGAGUAAAAGAGUACUACUAGUCUAACCUCCCUUUCACAAUUCUCAAGUGUGGUCAUAGCCCAGUAUCUAUGACAUCGUCCCAUGAUCUCCAUGGCGAUGUGCUAACACUAGCAACCUUUGAAAGCUGUAGGGAGGAUGUCUGUCAUACCAAGCAGAAACUGUGUUAGGAAAAUCAGGAAAGGUCAACCGGCAGCAUUCAUCCCCAUUUUCUUUACUUUCAAUUUGGCCAACAACAAUCUUGGAGGCCCCCGAUAUGUUUCAUAAUAAGCUGAAGCCCAUGGAGUCCACAAAAGCAUCAGAGUAAGAGUAAGGAGGCCCUUUAGCAACUCUGCCAUCAGACAGCAAUUUUCCCAAGUGUAAAAUUAGAAUAGUUACCCCUCACCCUUCCCAUCUCAAAGGCAGAACAAGGCUAUUGUUUGGAUCAGGCAGCCUAAUCAAACAUUCUAAAAAGUAAAAGGCUCAACACAAACAUGGCUCUGAGCAGGGUGCACACAGCCCCUGGCCCUCACAGGGUUAUUCCAGCUAAAGCAACAAGACACUGAGCUUGAGUUAUAAAGGUCUCAUUCCCUGUGACCCACCCCCAACUUGCUCCAGAACAGGCCAUCAUACAGAGCAGGCAGGUGCUUAAUAACCAUAAGGCGGCACGCCAGGACCCAGAAUUGCUACAGAGACGGUCUAUACAAAGCAACGGAAUUGGUAUUUGCCCUUCUGAUUUUUAACAAAGGAUGUCGGCACCCUGUUAAAAGAUCUGACUUUGUAUAAUGGAGUAACUGGGGGAAGAGAAAGAAGGUAUAAUAAUACCAAGUAUAUUUGGUUCUAAGAGGAUCGGCUUAGCUUUAUAGAUGGAAGACAGCUAAUUGUCCAGAGUUACUCAGGAGGGAGAAAAAGCAGGCCUCAAUCCUUUGUCCCAAGUGAAAAUUCAUCUGCCUCGUGCUCUAAGCAGCGGAAUCUCUCUACAGGUGUGAUUCCAAAGAUGAAAUGCUUCUUGAGUUGUGCCUUAGCAUCUGGGUACAGUUUAAAAUAAAAUUUACCAGGGAAACCUGGGGGCAACAAGCUGGGGCUUUUUCCUACCACCAAGGCAGCUACAUCCUGGUCUAAAUGUUUAAGUUACUUGAGUAACAGUAAAAGGCAGCUUUGGGCAAAUUUCUCCAAGACAUUAUUUAACUUUGCAGAAACAUCUUCACUGACCAAACACGAUUUUCACCAAGCUGUCUAUUAGGAGAAGCUCUGAAAUAUGCAGAAACCUCUGAAUUCCCUAACCUUUCUAACAAUCCAGGCCCAGGCCCAGUCUAAUCUAGAUCAAAAAAGCUGAUAGCAAUUCCAAGAACAAUUUCCAAAUAUUUAGGGAAAAGACACCAAUAAUUCUGUUUUCAAACCAGAGAAGCCCCUCACCUGACAGUAUCUACCUACUCAAAGUUUGCUGCUAUCUUAAUUCACUCUUCCCAGGAAAAUCCCAAUUUUCUUGGUUCACUGACCUUAAGAGGGGAAGGGAACCUUGGCAAUGCUCUACUGCAACCCCCUUACCAUGCAAAUGGAAACUAAGACUCAGAGAAUCAAGUGAGCUGCCCAAACAAGCCUCACGACAUGGUGGGACUGAGGCUAGAAUUCAGCCUAGCACUCUUCCCCCUGGCUAACCUUCUAUUUCUAAAUUUACUUAACAUUUCCAUUCUUUCCAUACUCCACAUACCCUCCUUACUGGAAUCAAGGCAGGCCCAGAGUCUCGAACCAACUGGCAACCUGACCUCGUUAAUACUCCGCCGGUGUCCUGCAGAGGUCACAUUCCUUCAUUCAUUCAACAAAUAUUUACCUCCUACGUGCAAGGCUGCCAAGUAAUAGGAUUUAAAAUGAACUGUAACAAGCCACAAAAUGAACCCCUGGCUCGUGCUGUCCUUUAACUCAGGCAGGGAGCCACUGGCAUGGGAGACAUAAUUCAGUGUAGAAGAAAAUGGAUUGGAGCAUUACUGAUGGCUUGACUGACUCUGGGGAACAGGCCAGUCUCUGGCUCCUGACUGAAUGCCAAGGGCCCUGUGACCACAUAGAGGCCAAUAUCUGCUAAUGAGCGAUCCCGAUUCCCUUUGUACCUGACCCCUGGCUUUUAUAUUCCUUAGCCAAAGAGAAGUGGGAUGAGAGGGUAAAUCCUGGGCUAGUGAGCCCCAAGUCAAAGAACCAGAUUAAUAGAAACCGUAUCAGCCAACUAGACUUCCAUGUGGUCUGCCAAGGUAGUAAUUGGUACCAAUGACCAACCUUCUGCCUCAAUUUCUCCAUUCCAGAAAUGUCACUGAGAAUGAAAGGCAGCCAAUGAGGACAACACAAUCUCAGUCACUGAAAAGCUUAAAAUGAUCAGGUCAGAAAACCAAACAGGACAAGGAGGCCUCAAAAAUCUCCUAGAAUAUAUACAACUCCAGCACCCAAUUCAUGCAGAUCACAAUGUAAAUUGACUGAAGCCUUAAAAGAGCUAAAAGAGAAAACAAAACAACAAGCUAGUUUCUCUGCAAAUACCUGUGCUAAGGACUGAUCCCAACACACACAAAUCCCAGCCCAUAAUGAUGCAAGAUUAGUGCUAGGCCUCAGAUCACUUAGUCCAGUUCUCUGAAUUCCCCUCUAAAAUGUUCCAUGAGGAGGACUGGCCCUACUUCUAGUAGGUCUAAUGUCUCUUUCAUAAGAAAGAGUUCAGAGGAUCAUUUUACUGAUCACAUUUCAUAGUUAUCUGAAAAUAGUUUGUAUCCACCAACCUUAACUAGAAACAUAAGCCUACAGUAUUCAAUCCGCACCAAUUUAACCAUUACUCCCCAGCAGAGAGAACCCCGCCAAAGAGAUGGUCAAAGAGGCUAACAAAACCCAGCCGUGAUCCUUAUAUGACUCAUCCCAACACUUUGGGAAGUCAAGCACCCCAUCCAACUAGAUGUCUGUCCAGGGAGGAUAGAAGCACCCCACUACCAGUCAUCUAUCUGGGAUAAAAAUGGGCCUAUUGGCCUGAUUUUCUAUAUUGAUAUACAUAGUACAGACUAAUAGGUCAUCUAACUCUAGAGGGCUCAAGCCUUAUCCUUUUGAUCAGAAUCACUUGAAGGACUAAGUACCGUUUGCCUGCUCAGCUCUUUGGCAAUGAAAGUGUAGGUGGCUCACAGACAUUUUCAGUUGAAUGGCCCUUUAUGCUGGCCAGGUGAUUUCCCCCCACAUUUCCAAGCUUGCGUUUAGAUUCACAAACUGCUGGAGAGAUAUGACCUGACCUAAUCCCAGCUUCUCACUUUCUAAAUAAAUAGGGCCAACGAACAACUUCUUCUAGACGUCUCAACCAAGUACAUUUUUUGCGCCUCUGAUUCCAAACCAUUUCCUAGCUAAUCUACCAUCCAAUUGAAAUUCCAUAUACCCUACCUGGUCAUAGCUUUUUCUUACGAGCUCUGCAUUAUUCUGUUCUGUGACUCGAUUUUACAAAUCCCGAAAGGACUCUGGAGAACAUCUAAUCCAAUGGCCUCAUUUUAUAGAGUGAACUAGGACCCAAAGAUGGGGAGGAUAGCUCAGACCCACGGUCACACAAAAUCCCCAAACAGAACUGUAAAGUCUUCUACAUUCUUAUGACACUGGAAUUUUAUCCCUUCUAACUCCACAGAAGUAGCCCAUUAAAAUUUUCUGGUUAGAAACAGAUUCCAAUCAUAAUAUUUUAUGUUUUUCCAAGAUCUGGCCUGUGCUCUGCUAUGGAAAAUAGCUAAACCUUACUGCUGUAGGAUGUUUCCAAUAACCACAUAACACAAAAGCAUUACUUAUUACAAAGAAUGGCAUCCCCAAAGUAACUAUUUUUCCUAUCACAGGAGGAAAAAAAAAAAAAGAGCAAGAACCAGGCCACUUUGCCUGAAAAUAAACAUGGCACAAGAGAAAACUUUCUACACCAACAAACCUAGAAACCUUCUCUCAAACUUAUAGUCAAACGUUUACUUCUAAUCUUGCAAACCAGGAAAUAGACAAGCAAACCCUAAGUCUCAGGAGCAAGACAAGACACUCAAUGUCCUUUGGGAGGACCAUUUCUAGCUAGGUUGGAAAAAAAAAAAAGGGCAGGAAAGGAAGGGACUAUCUCCAAACAGCUGCUUCUAUGGAAUUCUGGGGAUUCUGAAGAACAUAAAAUAUAAAACUAUUCAGUUCCACCCACUGUUUGCAAGACCAAGGUCAAGCUAUGCAUUAAAAAAAAAACAAAAAAAAACAAAAAAAAAAAAAACUCCCUAUCUGGGAAAGCAACUGAUUUUUAGAGGAUCCUGGCUCCUUGCAUCUCAAUAUUUUUCUGCCAAGAGGCUUCUGUUAACGUGUACAGUCCAAAUAAUUUUUUCCUCAGAUUGGAAACAAACAAACCACCUUUCUAACGCUUGGACAAAUUCAUUUUAACUGUUUGCACACAAAAAGGCUUCCUUAGAAGGCAGGCUAUGAAACAGAAUCCUAUCUUUUUAAAUGUUAUUUACUAGAUGUGCUGACAAGGAUUCCAUAAACAUCCUCCUUUUCUAUUUUGCAACAUCCAGAAAUUUGUAUUUUGAACUACACUGAGUACAUCAGUUAAUUUUUUUUUAAAAAAGUGAUACUGUAGCAAAGAAUCCAUUUAAACAAAAGUACAAAUCCAACUUCAAGGGCAAACCCUUUUUUGUUUUGGCUUUACUAGAUUAGAUUUCAUUUUCCUUUUAAACUAAAAGGAUACAUAUUGGUGCAGGUCUGUAUCAGGAGUGGGGAGUGGGUGGGGGAAGAAGGCCCAAAAUGUACCCUGCAUGUGGAGAAGACUUAAAUGAUAGGGAAACAGUUUCAACUUUUUUUUUUUUUUUACAAACUGUUUCACUUCGGAAUAUGCAUUAUCCAAUACACUCAACCUAAAAAACAAACAAACAAAAAAAAAAACUUAAAAGGAAAAUGAGCAUCCUUUUCCACUGACCCAAGCAGCAAGUUUUUGCUAAAAGGAGGUCUCUCAUUUCAAACAGUAAUGGAAAGCUGCUGGUAGCUAUUCUUGGCCACUGGCCUCUUUGGGAGUGGGAGUGGAUUUCACACUGGAAGGGAAACUUGACAUCAAUGUAAAACAAAUUCAGUUCCCUUUAGUUUGGCCCUAGGAAGAAUGAUUUUCUGAAACAUGUGCUCCCUGCGGGUGCUUCAGACAUCUUUGCUCCAGCUUCUAUUGCUAUGUCACAAUGCUGAGCUGUGUGCUCACACUAGGCUCUCCCUCUCAACCACUGAGAUCACUGACACAUGAGCCCCAAUUGCAGGUCAGACCCAAGAGGUUAUGAAGCCACAAACGUGGUGAGAGCAGUAGUUAUAUGGGAGGGCAGUGGCUGACUCAACUGGAAUCUGGACAGUGGUUCCCUUUCCCCCCAAAAGCACGUGCUUAACAAAGGAACAGUAGAAGCAGCCAGAAGCUUGGGACUGGACAGUUCACAGAGUUUGUGCUUCAACAGUAUGUUACAAAUGACUUGGUCAGUUUAAACUUCCAUCAAGUAUCGACACUGUAAGACACAGGAGAGAAGAUGUGAGAGAAAACGUGGACCACUUCCCCCCCCAGUAAGGGGGUGGGGGGAGCAGCAGAGCAGGGUGGCGGUUUAACAAGAGGAGAUCACAUUGUUCUCUGUCCUAUAGACAUAGGCAUGACUGGCACUGAUACAGUAUCCACUUUCUUCAUAAAAGGAUGAAGGCUGGAGAUCAAGCAAUGGAUCUGAGGGGCAAAGAGGUCAGAUCCCGACCACAUGUAGAUUUCGCUAAUUGAGAAUGAUACAGUAGACUUUUUUAAAAAAAAAGAAAACUGUGCACUUUCAGGGAUAACUUAAAAAUGAUUAACUUGCAA